GUCAUCGACAACAAGUCUUAGUCAGUUGGUUACUUGUCGGUUGUUAUGAAGGCACGAGACCCUAGGCUGAACAACAAACCUUUCUAUCCCGGAGUUUGUUUAAGCUUUUGGGUUGUUUAGGCAUGUAAUAUGUUCAGUUUUAACCCAAAGAUGUGGAGUUCAACUUGUGCUUGCACAAGCACAGCAGAUUUGCGUUUUUUGCCCAGUUCAGC